UUAAGUUCAGCGGGUAUCCCUACUUGAUCCGAGGUCAAAAGUGUUAAUUGUGCUUUAUGGACGCUAAUGAUGAUCAGUGAGAACCGCAAAUUGUGCUGCGCUUCAAACCAGUACAUUGGCUGCCAAUGAAUUUAAGGCGAGUCCAAGCACAAAGGCAAGGACAAACACCCAACACCAAGCAAAGCUUGAGAGUACAAAUG
rnacentral:misc_RNA from 1 species